rnacentral:rRNA from 1 species
GACGAACGCUGGCGGCGUGCUUAACACAUGCAAGUCGAACGGAAAGGCCCUGCUUUUGUGGGGUGCUCGAGUGGCGAACGGGUGAGUAACACGUGAGUAACCUGCCCUUGACUUUGGGAUAACUUCAGGAAACUGGGGCUAAUACCGGAUAGGAGCUCCUGCUGCAUGGUGGGGGUUGGAAAGUUUCGGCGGUUGGGGAUGGACUGGCGGCUUAUCAGCUUGUUGGUGGGGUAGUGGCUUACCAAGGCUUUGACGGGUAGCCGGCCUGAGAGGGUGACCGGCCACAUUAGGACUAAGAGACGGACCAGAGGGCUACGGGAGGCAGCAGUGGGGAAUAUUACACAAUGGGAGGAAGCCUGAGGAAGAAACGCCGCGUGCGGGAUGACGGCCUUCGGGGUGUAAACCGCUUUAGCCUGUGACGAAGCGGGAGUGACGGUAAUGGGUAAAGAAGCACCGGCUAACUACGUG